rnacentral:rRNA from 1 species
CGGUGAAUACGUUCCCGGGCCUUGUACACACCGCCCGUCAAACAAUGGAAGCUGGGGGUACCUGAAGUCUGUAACCGCUAAGGAGCGGCCUAGGGUAAAACUAGUAACUGGUGUU